GGGUUGUGAGGUUAAGCGACUAAGCGUACACGGUGGAUGCCCUGGCAGUCAGAGGCGAUGAAGGACGUGCUAAUCUGCGAUAAGCGUCGGUAAGGUGAUAUGAACCGUUAUAACCGGCGAUUUCCGAAUGGGGAAACCCAGUGUGUUUCGACACACUAUCAUUAACUGAAUCCAUAGGUUAAUGAGGCGAACCGGGGGAACUGAAACAUCUAAGUACCCCGAGGAAAAGAAAUCAACCGAGAUUCCCCCAGUAGCGGCGAGCGAACGGGGAGCAGCCCAGAGCCUGAAUCAGUGUGUGUGUUAGUGGAAGCGUCUGGAAAGGCGCGCGAUACAGGGUGACAGCCCCGUACACAAAAAUGCACAUGCUGUGAGCUCGAUGAGUAGGGCGGGACACGUGGUAUCCUGUCUGAAUAUGGGGGGACCAUCCUCCAAGGCUAAAUACUCCUGACUGACCGAUAGUGAACCAGUACCGUGAGGGAAAGGCGAAAAGAACCCCGGCGAGGGGAGUGAAAAAGAACCUGAAACCGUGUACGUACAAGCAGUGGGAGCACGCUUAGGCGUGUGACUGCGUACCUUUUGUAUAAUGGGUCAGCGACUUAUAUUCUGUAGCAAGGUUAACCGAAUAGGGGAGCCGAAGGGAAACCGAGUCUUAACUGGGCGUUAAGUUGCAGGGUAUAGACCCGAAACCCGGUGAUCUAGCCAUGGGCAGGUUGAAGGUUGGGUAACACUAACUGGAGGACCGAACCGACUAAUGUUGAAAAAUUAGCGGAUGACUUGUGGCUGGGGGUGAAAGGCCAAUCAAACCGGGAGAUAGCUGGUUCUCCCCGAAAGCUAUUUAGGUAGCGCCUCGUGAAUUCAUCUCCGGGGGUAGAGCACUGUUUCGGCAAGGGGGUCAUCCCGACUUACCAACCCGAUGCAAACUGCGAAUACCGGAGAAUGUUAUCACGGGAGACACACGGCGGGUGCUAACGUCCGUCGUGAAGAGGGAAACAACCCAGACCGCCAGCUAAGGUCCCAAAGUCAUGGUUAAGUGGGAAACGAUGUGGGAAGGCCCAGACAGCCAGGAUGUUGGCUUAGAAGCAGCCAUCAUUUAAAGAAAGCGUAAUAGCUCACUGGUCGAGUCGGCCUGCGCGGAAGAUGUAACGGGGCUAAACCAUGCACCGAAGCUGCGGCAGCGACGCUUAUGCGUUGUUGGGUAGGGGAGCGUUCUGUAAGCCUGUGAAGGUGUGCUGUGAGGCAUGCUGGAGGUAUCAGAAGUGCGAAUGCUGACAUAAGUAACGAUAAAGCGGGUGAAAAGCCCGCUCGCCGGAAGACCAAGGGUUCCUGUCCAACGUUAAUCGGGGCAGGGUGAGUCGACCCCUAAGGCGAGGCCGAAAGGCGUAGUCGAUGGGAAACAGGUUAAUAUUCCUGUACUUGGUGUUACUGCGAAGGGGGGACGGAGAAGGCUAUGUUGGCCGGGCGACGGUUGUCCCGGUUUAAGCGUGUAGGCUGGUUUUCCAGGCAAAUCCGGAAAAUCAAGGCUGAGGCGUGAUGACGAGGCACUACGGUGCUGAAGCAACAAAUGCCCUGCUUCCAGGAAAAGCCUCUAAGCAUCAGGUAACAUCAAAUCGUACCCCAAACCGACACAGGUGGUCAGGUAGAGAAUACCAAGGCGCUUGAGAGAACUCGGGUGAAGGAACUAGGCAAAAUGGUGCCGUAACUUCGGGAGAAGGCACGCUGAUAUGUAGGUGAAGUCCCUCGCGGAUGGAGCUGAAAUCAGUCGAAGAUACCAGCUGGCUGCAACUGUUUAUUAAAAACACAGCACUGUGCAAACACGAAAGUGGACGUAUACGGUGUGACGCCUGCCCGGUGCCGGAAGGUUAAUUGAUGGGGUCAGCGCAAGCGAAGCUCUUGAUCGAAGCCCCGGUAAACGGCGGCCGUAACUAUAACGGUCCUAAGGUAGCGAAAUUCCUUGUCGGGUAAGUUCCGACCUGCACGAAUGGCGUAAUGAUGGCCAGGCUGUCUCCACCCGAGACUCAGUGAAAUUGAACUCGCUGUGAAGAUGCAGUGUACCCGCGGCAAGACGGAAAGACCCCGUGAACCUUUACUAUAGCUUGACACUGAACAUUGAGCCUUGAUGUGUAGGAUAGGUGGGAGGCUUUGAAGUGUGGACGCCAGUCUGCAUGGAGCCGACCUUGAAAUACCACCCUUUAAUGUUUGAUGUUCUAACGUUGACCCGUGAUCCGGGUUGCGGACAGUGUCUGGUGGGUAGUUUGACUGGGGCGGUCUCCUCCUAAAGAGUAACGGAGGAGCACGAAGGUUGGCUAAUCCUGGUCGGACAUCAGGAGGUUAGUGCAAUGGCAUAAGCCAGCUUGACUGCGAGCGUGACGGCGCGAGCAGGUGCGAAAGCAGGUCAUAGUGAUCCGGUGGUUCUGAAUGGAAGGGCCAUCGCUCAACGGAUAAAAGGUACUCCGGGGAUAACAGGCUGAUACCGCCCAAGAGUUCAUAUCGACGGCGGUGUUUGGCACCUCGAUGUCGGCUCAUCACAUCCUGGGGCUGAAGUAGGUCCCAAGGGUAUGGCUGUUCGCCAUUUAAAGUGGUACGCGAGCUGGGUUUAGAACGUCGUGAGACAGUUCGGUCCCUAUCUGCCGUGGGCGCUGGAGAACUGAGGGGGGCUGCUCCUAGUACGAGAGGACCGGAGUGGACGCAUCACUGGUGUUCGGGUUGUCAUGCCAAUGGCACUGCCCGGUAGCUAAAUGCGGAAGAGAUAAGUGCUGAAAGCAUCUAAGCACGAAACUUGCCCCGAGAUGAGUUCUCCCUGACCCUUUAAGGGUCCUGAAGGAACGUUGAAGACGACGACGUUGAUAGGCCGGGUGUGUAAGCGCAGCGAUGCGUUGAGCUAACCGGUACUAAUGAACCGUGAGGCUUAACCUUACAACGCCGAAGCUGUU
rnacentral:rRNA from 1 species